CGCCGCCAGAGCACAAUUUCUGUUCUCAUCCUGAAGCAAAGUUCUUAACCCAAGGUACUAUUUCUGGGUUAGCAGAGUCUGUAACCUGAAGCGUAUGUAACCUGAGGUACCACUGUAUAUCCAAGGAACUGCAUUCUGUGAUCAGAUCACAUUGUAAAGAUAGGACCAGAGGGAAAUCUCUCAUGGGAGCUUUUGGUAAUCAAGUGGGUUCUCCUUUUCUCUCUGCCCUGGCCCUUUUCCUUCCAGG